CGGAAAAAUGCAGUGGUUAAAAAAUCUUUUCAGACGUAGAAAAAAGUCCAUAAUUUUCUGAAUAUUCCUGAACAAAGUUCCAUUACGCAAACCGGUCGCAAAACUUCAAAGUGCCUUCAAUUGACCGAUCAGUUUUUUUUAAGACGUCAUUUCAAGUGCUCAACUUAUCUUUGGAGUGCGCACUUGGGCAAACUUCAAACGGGCGUCUUAAACUGCUUAAUUACAUUACACCAGACCGUCGUCGUCACCAGAUAUAUACAAACACCACUCUGACGUGAUCCUAUUAAACUGCAAUCAGUACCGGAGCGAGUCGUGAGUCAGCAAAGGCUCAGCUUUAAAGAGCAAUUAUUCUCACAUUUGCAUAUUUCGCUAGUGCGGUCUAGGUUUGAGUGGACAAAAAUUAGAAGGCGGAUAAUUCGAUUUAGAUUAUUGUAUGAUUUAGUACUACUUUUUUCAUACAAUCUUUUUUUUAUUCUGAAUAGUAUCUUAUAAAUUAUCACACUCGUCUGAGUAAUAUCUCGUUGAACAUCAAGUAAAAUCCUGUACAAAUCUUUAAUAUGAUAACAUUAGGUUUUGAGUUGAAAUCUCAUACAAAGUUCAUUUCAAGAAGAAAACUAUUAUAGUAAUAGUAUAAUACAUCUUAUAAAAAAAUCAAACUUUCAAAAAAUGUUACAAGUAUGGACCACCCUAGUGCUCAGCUCUCCGCGGUUCGUUAGUAGUCGCAUUGUUCAGCCAUCCCAGCGCGAUUUUUCACUCCGUAAUCGAUAGUGUUCCAACCGCCCUCUCGAAUGCAAACCUGUUCGCCUGUUCAAGUCACUCAAGUUGCGGGGGCGGCGGUGGCCUAGCAUCAAUAUACAUCAAUAUAUGUGUGAUACUAGUUCCGCGCGCGUUCAACUCCAUUAGAGAGGGCGCGCGAUUCAGCCAGUUAUUAGUGAUUCCUUAGUGGUUGUGCGUCCGACCGACUUCAGGAAACGCGAAGAUCCGAUAGAGGAGGCGCCGCCGAUCUUAAGGUUGCUGCGGCUCUUCCCAAAGUUGGUCAUAUUCAGUUAAGAAAAUCAGCUGAACGGGGGUGACACAUUGUUUAGGAAUUGUGGCGUUUGUCACCCGCGGCGUCGGAUUAGUUCAGGGAGUGCACGAUCAGUUGCUGGUGAGAGCUAUCGUGAGAAGGUUGUGCUGGCUGGGGUGCCCCCUGGAAGGAUACUCCACCGCUGACUGGAGGAUUUAGGUGGUCAAGGAAGAGUAGGAAUUAGUGCAGAUUAUAGUGGUGCAUCGAUGUGACAAUAAAGAUUUUUAUUUUGUGCUGUUG